rnacentral:lncRNA from 1 species
CUGUGUGUGUGCGUAUUGCUGCGGAUUUGUGUGUAUUGCUUUCCUCCCUUACUCUAAGUGCUUUCACUUUGAUCUUUGUUGUAAGGGCGAGAGAUUCCAAGUUGUGGAAAUUCCUCGCAGACGGGAAAGAGUAUAAGAAAGAAAACAACCGUGGUAUUCAAGUGGAUCAUUGGAUCACUUGAAAGGGGUUGAGUGCAACCCUCGUCCAUUGGGACGCCACAACGUGGAGUAGGAAAGUGUUAUACUUGGCCGAACCACGGGAUAAAUCAUCGUGUCUCUUAUGCUUGUUUUCUUUGUGACUAUUGUGUUUCACAAGAGCUCGGUUCUUAGCCACUUGAUUCUAUCGUGCUAAUACUUAAUCAAGUUUUGUGGCUAUAAGUUUUAAGUUUUUACAGGAUCACCUAUUCACCCCCCUCUAGGUGCUCUCAAUCACUUACAACAACAUGGGUUCGAAAACCCUUAGUACAUAGUGUACUUUCGCAAGUCUUACCCGACAAAGGAAAAAGACUUCUCAAGGAUAUGCUGGCUUGUCGGAUUCAAUGUAAAGCUGAUCAAGAAUCAAAGACUCUGUUUACAGAAAUGAUUACUAACAGUGGAUCCUUAAAAAUCCAGUUUUAUUAUCAGGUUAAGUCAUUACUUGUAUCUAGAGUUCUUUCUAUCGUAGUUCAGGUACUUAGCCUAUGCUAGCCGUCUUUUAUCAACCCUUCACUUUACUGGAUUGCUACGUGUAGGACAGUGACCAAGUCUUCAUGUCCAAGAAGUAACAACGAUCCGAAUCGAUUAAUACCCAGCUGGGGAUCUCCAACCACACGACAUAUGUAGCACUUAACCCUUGCAUAUGUCAACUCGCCACCGGGUUUCUCAAGACCAGAACGAGUUCACGCCAACCGAGAGCACAAAUACACCACCGUCCAGCCUUUUGCCACAGAGAGUACACACUACUCUCCAUCUCUCCACUCCUAUUGCGUGGUGGCCUUUCUGGUAUUGGUACAACCGAGGCAAAGCAUACCAUGACGAGACAUGUGGCCAGUUAAAAGGUCCUCGAUCAGCAAGCCUACAUCGACACGGUCCUUAAUCGACUCAGACGGAGACACUACACUGAGACUUCAUUCUCGUGCAAGUGACCCGCCCAGUCUUGUCUUUAUCAUUUACAACCCAAAAUUUGGUACCUGACAGAGGUACAUCUUUUCAGAUGUUGAACCCAUCACAGCCAUGAUAGAUUCACCAUCAAGUCUUUUCUUUGGAAACUUCCCAUCCCAUGUGAAGCAUCAUUUUUGUUUAAAACAAAACAUUUUGUUUUCUAAAGCAGAGCUAAGCAUCAGAAAACUUUUAAGUAAAGCAGGUAUCAAGGAAUGGUAAUCAGUUUCAAGGAAGGGAAUGCAACAAUUGUUUAGCACACAACUCCUAUCACCUAAUGCAUCAUCUCAAGUGAUAAAGAGUUUUAAACAACAAGGAAAGGGGUAAAUGCACCGGGGCUUGCCUUGUGUUGUAGGAGGCUCAGGGUUUGUCCCACAGAUAUCAAAUAGAAGUUGUUCUCGACAGGUGAAAUUUCAGCUUGCGGGGCAACUUCUUCGUUUUCUAUACAUAACAAUACAUAUACAUGAAUGCUCAUGUGAUGCUAUGAAUAUGAAAUUAUAAUAGAAACACACUAAGUUGUAUCUUGAAUACAACUUUCCUUCACGGUAUAAACUAGUCACUAGAGUUUCCUGGGAUAGUACUUUAUCAGGGUUAGGCACUUAUAUCCUAGGAAGCUAGUGUCUUAGUUUUGGGACCAAACAAUGUCCAAAGCGUGCCAAACUUUACCCAAGGGCUUUAAUCAUCAGACUAAGCUUACCUAAAAAGUUUUAUUAUUUUUUGUAGUUACCAAAUUAAUUCUAAAAUUCUAAAAGGCUAGGUUUAGGCAUCUUUAAAUGCCAAAUAAAUCUAGGUUUGGACUAAAAAUCUUUGAACUAUUUUUAUUAAAUACGAGAUGAUUUUAGGAGUCUACUAAAAUUGGUAUCAUAUUUUUACAAUUUUUCUACUAAUUUCUAUGGAUUUCCAAACUUAAUAGAAAAAAGGAAAAGGAAAAACUAAUAAACAGUAUUGGGCCGAAAUCAGCCCAACAGACCUAAGCUUACGCAGAAAUCGGGCGCACCCACGACCGCACGGUUAGUUUUGCGCAAAGGCCCCUCACGGUUCAAACAACUGGAAAAGAGUCCCAGCCCGACUUGUAUGUGUCUCUGACACUUUACCUUCUGACCCUCCCAAUCUCUUUGUCUUUCAAAAUCAGGUCCUCGAGUCCGGCUGGCGGCGCGGAUGAACAUCCCUCCAUGCCACGACGGUGGAGAGCUCGAGCGUCCUUCAAACACCUGCCAGACCUAACCCUGACCUAAAUCGAACAGUCUCGGGCACGAAUCCAGUUAGUAAACCCCCCUCAGAGGCCUAUCCACGACCAUGACGGUGAGCCGGGUCCGCGGCGCACGUUGAUGCGGCAUUCGCCCUGGAAAUUCCAAAUUAAGGGAACGGAGAGUACAAGUGGGUCACGCAAGUCAUGGUGCUCACGAGAACCAGCGUCGGACCAAUAGAACUCUGGUUGGUCGACACAGGCGCCGUUUACGGGUUAGCACACGGCGUCGAGCUCGCGUUCCAACCAAGCUAUGCCAGUAAUGACCAGACGAGCACUUCGGUAAACUUCACCAACACCCAGGGAUACUCAAACACUAAAUCAAAUGCGUAGAACCAUACCGGGUUUGCCUGGCCACGGGGACGCGGAGAUGAACACGCACUGCGGGGUCCGACGGGAGCGAUGGACGUCGUGGUGAACUCCGGCGUAAAUAGGCAGUCACGCAGGAGCUAUACGACCAAAAGAGACAACAAGUUCACCGUGCACUACCAAUUUGGGACGAGGAAGUGAGGGCACCGUGAAUUUUGGCUUCUACUGACCACACCGGAAGACAGU